rnacentral:rRNA from 1 species
GUGGGGAAUAUUGGACAAUGGGCGCAAGCCUGAUCCAGCCAUGCCGCGUGUGUGAAGAAGGCCUUCGGGUUGUAAAGCACUUUCAGCGAGGAGGAAGGGUGGUGUGUUAAUAGCACAUCAUUUUGACGUUACUCGCAGAAGAAGCACCGGCUAACUCUGUGCCAGCAGCCGCGGUAAUACAGAGGGUGCAAGCGUUAAUCGGAAUUACUGGGCGUAAAGCGCACGUAGGCGGUUAGUUAAGUUGGAUGUGAAAGCCCCGGGCUCAACCUGGGAAUUGCAUUCAAAACUGGCUAACUAGAGUAUGUGAGAGGGGGGUAGAAUUCCAAGUGUAGCGGUGAAAUGCGUAGAGAUUUGGAGGAAUACCAGUGGCGAAGGCGGCCCCCUGGCACAAUACUGACGCUGAGGUGCGAAAGCGUGGGGAGCAAACAGGAUUAGAAACCCUAGUAGUCC